rnacentral:ncRNA from 1 species
AAAAACGCGCUGAUAGAGACAGUAGUUUAUGCAGAACGCUAAAGCGAAUCAGGGAUAGUGAAAGCCUGAUGCGGUCACAUUGACGAACAUCACUCUUGAGCAGAAUUGGUGAAUACUAGUAACCAAUUCCGUCUACGCCACGUUACGGCGAUCGAGUGGCAGCUAUCUAGCUGCAACAAGGGUGGUACCGCGAGUUUAAGCUUCUCGUCCCUUUA